rnacentral:rRNA from 1 species
GUGAAAUUGUUGAAAGGGAAGCGCUUGCAACCAGACCUGCCUGCAGUUGCUCAUCCGGGCUUUUGCCCGGUGCACUCUUCUGCUGUCAGGCCAGCAUCAGUUCGGGCGGUCGGAUAAAGGCUUCGGGAAUGUAGCUCCUCUCGAGGAGUGUUAUAGCCCGUUGCGAAAUGCGGCCAGCCUGAACUGAGGUCCGCGCUUCGGCUAGGAUGCUGGCGUAAUGGUUGUAAGCGGCCCGUCUUGAAACACGGACCAAGGAGUCUAACAUCUGUGCGAGUGUUUGGGUGUCAAACCCGUACGCGUAAUGAAAGUGAACGGAGGCGGGAACCCCUCGGGGUGCACCGUCGACCGAUCCUGAUGUCUUCGGAUGGAUUUGAGUAAGAGCAUAGCUGUUGGGACCCGAAAGAUGGUGAACUAUGCCUGAAUAGGGUGAAGCCAGAGGAAACUCUGGUGGAGGCUCGCAGCGGUUCUGACGUGCAAAUCGAUCGUCAAAUUUGGGCAUAGGGGCGAAAGACUAAUCGAACUAUCUAGUAGCUGGUUCCUGCCGAAGUUUCC